GAAAAGGGGUUUUAACUUGUUACAGAAUUGGAGAAGUCUUUGCAAAGGACUGAUUUAAGCCCUUCACCCAACACCUUACCCUGAGUAGAUUUGCAUACAGCUAAAUCUAAAAUAUUCUGCUAAAGACUGUUGGAUGUGUGGUUGAUGGGAUGAAACCUUUGGUUAAGUUUCCUUUUGGUGGAAACAUCCUGUGGUAGGUACAGAUAAUCCAACAAGAGUCCCCUUUUCUUUGAGCUUAAGAAGGACACUGUCAAGUAGGUAGGAGGAAACCUGGCAGAGCCCCCUUACUUUUGGCCUAAAAGGACUGAUCACCAAGAUGUCUUUUGAAGUUUUAAGCUAAGAGAUUUCCAGUGCAAUACAGUACAUACAAGUGAAGUUUUUACCUCAGAUUUGCAAUGGACUGUAAACUAUACUUAUUACACCACUACUCCUCUCAAGCCUGCCAGGGCCUCCAUAUUUGUAUGUGGCUUACAGCUUAAAGUCAGUAGUUGGACUACUUUAUGAACUGUUACUAUCAUGUUUUAUACCGGUCGUAAAUGCACUCCCCAAACUACAGGAAAGCGGUAUGUUUAUUUUUUAAACCAGUUUUUAAUUUUCUUAGUCUUAUUUAUUGUAGAUGCAACUGUUUUUAUUAUGUUGGGGGGCUUGGGUUUAUUGCAGCUUUGUAGUUUGAGUGAACUUGUGUUGCAGAAGUUUAUGAAAGCAGUAAACAUUCAGAAAUAACUGGAAAGCUAGUGAUGCCCAGGUUAUUACAGAGAUUUUGACAAGGGUAAAAAGACAUAUUUAUUAUUACCUUAAAAAACCUGAAAUUUUGUUUUUUAGUUUGUAUAGCUCUUUAUUAAAUGCU
rnacentral:lncRNA from 1 species